rnacentral:rRNA from 1 species
AGUUUGAUCAUGGCUCAGGAUGAACGCUAGCGGCAGGCCUAAUACAUGCAAGUCGAACGCUCAGUAGCAAUACUGGGAGUGGCGCACGGGUGCGUAACGCGUACACAAUCUACCUCUAAGCGGGGGACACCUCCGGGAAACGGGAUUAAUACCGCAUAAUAUGCCGAGGUCGCAUGACUUUGGUAUUAACGCAGCAAUGCACUUAGAGAUGAGUGUGCGUCCCAUUAGGUAGUUGGUGAGGUAACGGCUCACCAAGCCUAUGAUGGGUAGCCGGUCUGAGAGGAUGGUCGGCCACACGGGCACUGAGACACGGGCCCGACUCCUACGGGAGGCAGCAGUAAGGAAUAUUGGUCAAUGGUGGAAACACUGAACCAGCCAUGCCGCGUGGAGGAAUAAGGUCCUACGGAUUGUAAACUCCUUUUGACGAGGAAGAAAGUGUUAGAUUUAUCUAAUUUUGACGGUACUCGUAGAAUAAGCACCGGCUAACUCCGUG